GGGCUUUGAAUCUUAAAACCAAUAGGGUUUAUCUAUAAAUGGGGUUUAUUGCAUAAAUAAGCUAUCCCAUAAUUUUUGGAUAUUUAUUUGGAGUUGAAAAACUAUUUUAUUUAAAUAGUUAUAUAGCCCUAAAGGCAUUUAUAGGGCAAAUGUAUUUUUUAUAUAUUUUAUUUUGAGAGGAAGUUACUCCCAAAAGUUUAAUCAUGAUAAAAUAUGAUUUAACAAAUUUUCUAGAAUUUAUUUGGAUCAAUUUGGAGUUCAAAAUCAAAAGAUAUCAAAGAAAUCAGAAAAAGAAAAAGAGAAAAGGCUAAAAGGGAAAAAAAAGGGGAAAACCGGACCGAACCGGCCCAGUCCCGCGCGAACCGACUGAGCCAGACCGGCCCCACCUGCCGCGCGCGCGCCCGAGCCACUGAAGC
rnacentral:lncRNA from 1 species